AUUUAACUUCAGUCUCUUCAGUAUGUUUAUAAUCUUAGCCAUUAGUCACACGAGAAAUAGAAGAGCAAACAGUUUAGGAUAGAAGUUAGCAGGUAGCUGGCAAUGAUGUGAAAUAACUGGCAGCAUAGUACAGGUACAUAAGUUCUAUGUUUUGUUUCUGGAUUUUGUGAAAAUGUUUACAAAUUAAGUCAUAUUCAGAUGUCUGCUAUUAUGCUCUUCUGUUUAAUACAGAUUUUUACACCCAAAAUGAGAAUUAGGCAUAGCUUAAAGUAUAAAUGAGUCUUUUUUUCAGAAUUGUGUAUCUGAAGGUAGGUUUAGUAAAGAAAGUCUUCUGUUUUCAAAGAAAAUGAACUUAAUUGGACAGUCCAUCCCCAACUACAGAAUUCAUAUCAAUCUGGUUUGCUGUAUUUGAGUGUCAAAAGUGUAGUGUUAAUGAUAUCAGAGGAAAUUGUUCACACCUUCAUAAACUACAAAAGUUACCAAAGAAAAUGAAUCAACCAAAUAUAAAAUUUGAAGUACCUAACUGUUAAGGAAUGAGGCCCCUUCUAACAUGAAAGAUUGAUUUCUAGCCCUGGAGGAAAUAUUCUUCCAUAUGGAACAGAUAUACAGAACCUACAAGAUUCCAUUUGAGGUUUUCUUAUCAUGUUGGUAAAAUGUCAACAUUUAUACUUCCAGCAAAAGUACCAGUUAAGGGUCAAGUCCAAAUAUUAUUUCUUAUGGCAAAUUUUCAUGUCUCCUUAAUUCAAAUUAAGGAUUUUGCUCAUCAGUAUUAAAUAAAAGGGGGAGAGAAAAGAAUUCCUGUAAUUGGUAUACUGUAUAAUAUUGUGACUUCCUAAAAAAAUUGAGGGUGAAUUAUAGAAAUGUGUAUUUUAAGUGAGCAAUGUCAGUUAUUUCUAGUAAGUAUGAUAUUGGCUAAAACUAUGUUUGUUUACAUAAUUUAUGUACUCGAUCACUCUGGGUAUUUUUUUUCUUCGCAGAAAAACACGAUUGGGUUAAGAAAAGUUAAAACACUUAUUUUUAAAAUAGUUCAGUAAGCACUAAAGAAUUUACUUAAACUGUUAAAUAAUGAUUUGGGGGGAUAUGAAUUUAUAUAUUACCUGAUGUCCCAAACAGGCUCUAUGUAUUAUUUUUUUUAUAUCAGAUAGAAGUUAAAAAGUAAUGGAUGUGUUGAUCUGCUAUCUUAGAAAAGAUUGGCUUUCUAACAAUUAUGAACGUCGGUUUUUAUGUUUUUUUUAAGUUUUAUCAUCCAAACUGAACUGAGACAUAUACUAAAUGUUCUUUGUGUUGUUUUAAAAUAUUUGUAAGAAGUUCAUUAACUGCUUUACAGUGGUUACAGUGGUGGUUUUUUGAUUCUUAUUCUAAAACUUAUACUGGCUUUACAUUCAGUUUAACUGGUUAAGUGAAACAGUUUUUAUGGUGCAAAGAUAAUUUUCCCACUUUGUCAUCAUAAUUUGACUCUCCUGACCUAUAGUUUCUAAAGAGUUUUUUACUACUGUAACAUCAUGUAUCUGAUCUCUGUCACAAUGGACAAGUAUACAGGAAAUAUCCAACUUUCAUAUGUUUGCUUCAAAAAGGUUACAGGUUGAAUAGGUCAGCUCUUAUGUUUUUGUUUCUUAACCAGCAUCAACCUAUAUAGCUUGGUGUAAACUUGCCAAGUAUUCAGAGAAUAGUGCUGGUUAAAAUUUAAAUAUGAUAGUCAGGAAGAAAAUAUGAUCUCUAUUGACUGAUGUCCUUUCAAACUAGGACUAGUGAAAACAUUUUUUUCAGAGCUGAAGAAGAAAUGCACAUUUAAGAUCAUAUUUAUUGGUGCAUGUAAGCCAUUAUCUUAACUGUCUUACUGAACUAGUUAAUGCUGUUGAUUGUUGAAAUGUGAAAUGUAGUCACUGUUGACCUUGUAAAUAUCUGCCAGAGAUGAAAAAAUAUUUUAAAUUAUAAAUAAAGAUGUAUAAAAUUCAUUAUCAGUCUGCAAUGCAGAAACAUAUCUAAGAUGUUAAAUAUUGUGUUUCUUGAGAAAUGUGUAAUUUUUCCCUAGAUGUAUCUAGUUACAUUAAGGAUGUAAAUUUUCUUUUGUACAGUAUAAAAUACAGCUUUAUUUGGCUUUUGA
rnacentral:lncRNA from 1 species